rnacentral:lncRNA from 1 species
CAACAAUGCAAGGCACUGUCCAUCCAGACCUCAGAGAGCCACAGAUGCUGUUGACAAAGAAUUGCUGCCCUCCUUAUAUUGCAGAGGAAGUGGCUGGGUCAGGCUGGGCAUUUACUCACUUGACUAAUACAGAGAACCAAAUGGAGUGAUAGGAAGAGAAGACAGCACUUUCCCGAUGUUGAGGCUCCAAAUGAACAUCUGUCCAUUUUCUGAUGAGUUGGUCGACUCCGGACUCUGGCGGAAGCCAGUUUUUCCUCUGGAGCAGAAGUCUCACUGCCACCCAGAAUGCAUGUGAUCUACUCCUUUCCACAUCAGCCUUUUUGUACCGGGAAACAAUUUCUGUGUUUCUCUAGAUAAAAAUAUAAUUUGAAAGCCAUAGCUUCUGUAUAAAUUAUUGCAACUUCAUUUUCACUCACUAUUGGCUUCCAUUUAUUUGAAGUGAAUGACGAUGUCCCUCUAUUUGAAAAGACCUUUCUUCCACACCUGUCCUCCCUUCAACCUGCUGUUGGAAUCAGGUCCCUUAACUACAGAGAAUUCAAUGGACCCCAAUCCCAUACACGUCAAACUUUGAUUAAAGAAUGUCUUACUCUGACCAAGGAUCUCAGAGCCCCCAGAUGAACCUCAAGGCAUUGUUGGCCAUUUUUCUUUACCAUUUGUGGGAUAAAAAAGCUGAAAAUAGCCAGGAGCAGUGGCUCCCACCUGUAAUUCCAGCACUUUGGAAGGCUGAGGCAGGUGGAUCGUGUGAGCUCAGACAUUUAAGAUCAGCCUGGGCAACAUGGUGCAACCCUGUUUCUAUAACAAGUACAAACAUAAGCCAGGCAUGGUGGCAUGUGCCUUUAGUCCCAGCUACUUGGGAGGCUGAAGUGGGAGGAUUGCUUGAACCUGGGGGUUUGAGGCUGUGGUGAGCUGUUUUUAGGCCACUGCACUCCAGCCUGGGAGACAAAGCAAGACCUUGUCAA